CUACGGGCUGCUGCAGUGGGGAAUGUUGCACAAUGGAGGAAACUCUGAUGCAGCAACGCCGCGUGGAGGAUGACACUUUUCGGAGCGUAAACUCCUUUUAUAUAGGAAGAAGAUGACGGUACUAUAUGAAUAAGCGCCGGCUAACUCCGUGCCAGCAGCCGCGGUAAUACGGAGGGCGCAAGCGUUACUCGGAAUCACUGGGCGUAAAGAGCGUGUAGGCGGAUUAAAAAGUCAGAAGUGAAAUCCUAUAGCUUAACUAUAGAACUGCUUCUGAAACUCUUAAUCUAGAAUAUGGGAGAGGUAGAUGGAAUUUCUGGUGUAGGGGUAAAAUCCGUAGGGAUCAGAAGGAAUACCGAUUGCGAAGGCGAUCUACUAGAACAUUAUUCACGCUGAGACGCGAAAGCGUGGGGAGCAAACAGGAUUAGAUACCCGGGUAGUC
rnacentral:rRNA from 1 species